CAAACUCUGUUAAAAAAUGAUGACUUCUCUGUUCGCUCCCGAUCGUCUUCUUCCCCAUUUCGAACGUUGAAGGAUUUCUCAGAGGAAGCUUCCUGCGUACGCCAUCCGGUAGAGGUCUUGUUUUGUCACCGAUAGAGAUCCCGACUGUCUUCCCAUUUCGACAUUGGUCCAUUUGUUUUGAACGUUGGAGAGGUUUCUCACCGUCUUCCUCAUUUCGAGCGUUGAAAGAUUUUUUAGAGGCUCCUGUGUUCACCGUCCAGUAGAGGUUCCGACCGUCUUCCCCAUUUCAACAUUUUUUCGCUCCUUCCAGCCAUUUUUUUCAAACGUUGAAGGGUUUAUCAAAGACCGUCUUCCCUAUUUCGAACGUUGAAAGAUUUCUCAGAGGCUCACUACGUUCACCAUCCAGUAGAGAUCCCGUUUCCUCACCAUUAGAGAUUCGACCAUCUUCCCCAUUUAGACAUUUAUUUGCUUCUUUCGUCCCUUUGAUUCCUCGAAUGUUGGAAGGUUUCUCAUAGGCCCCAUGUACUAGCCAUUGAAGCCAGCCGUUCUUCACCGUCAGAAAUGAGCUCUCUCAGCCAUCAUGCACCCUCACAUCCAAAUCUGAUCAUCUGUGGCACGUCGAAGAUCAAAAACUUUGUUUGUUGGACAUUUGGUAGAUUAUAGUGGGAUUUGCUCCUCCAAUACCCUGUUCCAUUGCUCUGAAUGCGUUCGAGGGUGAUCUCCUUCUGGGCUGGAUACGUUGACGAUUUAUAACGCAUUAGUGAUUAUGCCUGGGGAAAUGUGUACAUGAAUUCUUGGCCGGUGGUCUUGACCAGUUUGUUUCUAGUUGUGGUGCUGGAUUGAACGGAGGUUCAUCCUCAUUUAGUGGUUGCCUAUUUGGAUGCAACGUUGUGUUGAUGGCAUGGCUUUACGAGCACACAAUGCUAUUCACUCCUUCAGUUCUCAAUGCUAGUCCUCAUUUGUUCAAGUGGGGGAACAUGGGGUAUCAAUGGAGGCAAAAGAGAGCUGAUUUGUUGAAGAAAGCUAAGCCAUAAAUGGUUCUCACUUCUGUUCCUCUACUUAUGGUGUUUGUAAUUAUUUGUUUUGUUGUGGGGAGACCCAAGAUCUCAUAUGGAUCUGUAAACCCGUUACAAGUUAUUGAGGUUCUGAACCCUACUAGUGAGGAGGUGGUCUUAGUGGAGGUUCAGUCAGAGGGCUGUUUUGUGGACCCAGGGGGCCAUAGUGUGGGUAAGGAACCAUUUUCUGAUAGAAAGGACCCUGGUCACGGGUGGGGUCAAAGGGGGCAAAAAGGGUUUCUGUAAAUUCUACAUCGAAUCUAUGGAAUAUCAAAUUCUGUGUACAAAGGCCAACCAGUACGCCUCGACAAGAAAGCAGAAUGAGGCACUUUGUGAGGAAGUUAAUAGGCUCUAUACAAUGUUGAGAAAUAAAGGAUUGGACCCGGAUGUAGUACCAUUGAGUGAGGGGCUGAUAGGUUUGGCAACAUGCGUGCCAGAAGAUGAUGAUAAUGGUGCAGACUUGCCUGUUGGAGUUGUAGGCGGCACCACAGGGGUAGAGCAAUCUCUUGAAAGGACUAGCACUGUAGCCCCAUCUUGCGAGAUUGUUAAUGUGUCUCCCUCCAUUGCCUCAUCCUACAAGCAUAAGUUUUCUCGGGCAAGGAGAGAAAGAAAGCAAAGAAACACAGUGGUGUCGCCUUACCUAGCUCCUGGGCAACAAGGGCAGGUAGCGAAAGAGUUUGCCAUUGCUGCAAGGUCCAAAAGAGCAAUAAAGGAGAAGGUGAAGUAAUAACAGUUGGUAUUGUCAUGGUGUUAUCUAUAGGGUUGAGUUGGUUGUUGCGUGUAGGGUUGAGUUGCUUAGUAGUUUAGUGACUAGUGGAGUAUUUGUUGCAGUCGAUGGAUACAUGAUCCUUGUGGACUUCUUUUAAGAUAAAGGGCUUGCUCCCAAAGGAGGACAUAGCAGUUGUGAAAUUGUUCUUGAACAACUCCAAGAGAGGGCAAGUGCACAUUAUUGUA